UGCCCUUGUGUUUGCUUUUGUUUAACUUGUGGGCAGAAACUUAUAAACAGGUGCAAAAAAACUAAAUUCUCUUUGCAAUGUAGGAUUUACUGUUUAGUAUGAGUUUUAAUACGUGUAAGAGGGAAUACU
rfam:Tupaia chinensis contig73173, whole genome shotgun sequence.